GAGGGUAUAGCUCAGUGGUAGAGCACAUGCUUAGCAUGCUCUAGGUCCUGGGUUCAAUCCUCAGUACCUGCA
rnacentral:tRNA from 1 species